AGGGUUUGAUCAUGGCUCAGAUUGAACGCUGGCGGCAGGCCUUAUACAUGCAAGUCGAACGGAAACGAUGCUAGCUUGCUAGCAGGCGUCGAGUGGCGGACGGGUGAGUAACACGUGGGAAUCUGCCUAUUAGUGGGGGAUAAGCUGGGGAAACCCAGUCUAAUACCGCAUACGCACUACGGUGGAAAGGGGCCCUCUCCUUGGAAGGUCUCGCUAAUAGAUGAGCCCGCGUCGGAUUAGCUAGUUGGUGGGGUAAAGGCCCACCAAGGCGACGAUCCGUAGCUGGUCUGAGAGGAUGAUCAGCCACACUGGGACUGAGACACGGCCCAGACUCCUACGGGAGGCAGCAGUAGGGAAUAUUGGACAAUGGAGGAAACUCUGAUCCAGCCAUGCCGCGUGUGUGAAGAAGGCCCUAGGGUUGUAAAGCACUUUCAGUAGGGAGGAAACGCCUACGGUUAAUACCCGUAGGCUAUGACGUUACCUACAGAAGAAGCACCGGCUAAUUUCGUGCCAGCCGCCGCGGUAAUAC
rnacentral:rRNA from 1 species